rnacentral:lncRNA from 1 species
ACCUGUCCGUCACGGUCUCCUGGUCGCCUGGUCUCCCUGCGCCUCAGGGGCAAAGUUAACGCGAAGUGCUGUCCUCUGCAGACCCGUCGGCCACAUCCGCAUAAUUCCCGCCCAAAUGAAUGUGAAUGAAACCUCAUACAACCUGCACAACGUACACCUACGACUGGCUACAUUCAGCACUCCUCACUGGCUACACGCAGCACUCCUCACUGCCAAACGAAGUCAUCCUGUGCGAUGGCAACUACUACUGUUGAAUGUGCUUAGCAUCAUGGAAGGCGGUUUCCCCGCAACAAAAGCAAACAAAACUCAUAAGAUUACCCAGACAUGAUGCACACAUACGUGCAGAUGUUUAUGAUACAGCAACGCAGCACACACAUGUACUCGCGUUCCGCACCCCCACCCUCCACACACAAACACACACACGCACACAAAACACGGUAUUGUCUAUCAGAAGCGGCAUCGGGACACAGCAGCAAGAAGCAAGGCCCGGCGCACCUGUCGCCAUGCCAGCGGUGGAGCACCCUGCGACGGCUGGUCUGCAGCACGUCCUGGGCUGAGAACACGUCCACGUCCAGCACCUGGGCAGGGCCACACGCCGGGCGCAGCUUCACAGGCUCUUGCGGUGGGUUGCCUUCCACCCUGGCCCACGCCACCACGCCGCGCGCCUUGACGUCCACGGGAAGCUGGUGCCAGAGCGUGGCCGACCGCUGGCGUAUGACGUGGUAGCCGCACAGCAGGACCAUCGCCGAGCGUUUGAGCUGCGGAAUGGCGGCGGACGUGCCUGUGCCACACCAGCAAUGCAGUGAUGGAGCUGUAUGUGAUGAACAGCAUGCUCCCAGGGUGGCAUCCGGGUGGCCAACUACCUCCGCAUUACACUAGGCUGUCGCACGAUCACAUGAUCACACACUGCUACGCCAGGGGUAACUGUCUGCUUGCGGCGAGCAAGCCUGCACCCACCCUUGCUGCUGGUCUUGGUCUCCACCAAGGUCAAGUCCGCCCAGCUGCCGGAGGCACGCAGCGAUAGUCUAUCCACCUCCAACUCAGAGACGGCCGGCGACAGGCAGAAGCCGCCACUGCCACCGCCCGCGCUCGCCCCGCCACCGCUGGCCUUGCCGGCGCUCGACCCGCCGCUGUGGCUGCCACACACUGCGACCGCAGGCUGCAGGCUGCUCAGCGCCGGCAUGAACAGCUCGCGUGCCAGCAACUGCCAGCGCUGGUCCGCCGUUCCGCGCAUGUACCUCUUCAGGGCACAGUAAAUGGCGAGCGAGGUUUUCGCGCCGUCCGCCGGUGACGACUUGACGCUGCUAGCUGGGCCUGAGCCCUGCUGCUGCUGCUCCUUGUGUGAUUUCCUUGUCGCCGUCGCUGCUGCUGCUGCUGCCACGGCGGCGGCGGCGGUCCACCCCCAGCAGCUUCCGUGCAGCCCCAAUUAGUGCCAGCGCGUCCUACAGCACGCUUUUGAACUUUGCGUCCAGCUUGGCGUCCAGCUUGGCGUCCUGAUCGCUGAACUUGGCGUCCAGCUUGGCGUUUUGCUCGCUGAACUUGGUGUCCAGCUUGGCGUUCAGGAACUCUGCCAGCGUCGCCCUCCCCUGAAAUGGAAAUACGAGUGAUGUGAGGCGCAUGAAAACUGGUGCAACGUCUUUGCAGGCGCAACGUCUUUGCAGGCUUUACUAGGGCUUCCACUCACGUCAUCAGGAGCCCCGAGCUCGCCCGCCGCAGCGGAAGCUGCCACUUUGGGCGUUCCGCGCAGUAAUUGAGCUCUCGAGCUUUGCAGCUGGAUGCGCAGAGCUGCGAAGCGGCCCGCAAAGCAAGAUUUGCGUCAUUCCGUUAAAGCCCUCGUUUGGGCGCCAGUCUUGCAAAGCGCACCUGUACAGCAUCCGCUGGAUGGCACGCGGUGGACGCACGAGGAGACAGCAGACGCAGGCGGGUUGACUGAUAGGCGCGAGCGCGUCGUUCGCGGCGGAGAGUUUACGUUCACGAACUGUAAGGGCAUGGCUACUGGGGUACUCCAGCAAAGGAAAAUACCAGGGGACUGCAGAUUACAGGAACGCUUGGAAGUGCUACGUGGAUUCACGGAGCUCGCGCUCGCACAAUGAGCCUCUUUCCAAUCGACUUUAGAAUGCUGACAAUGCUCGCCCGCAGUACCGCUGCCUUGUGGGAAUGUGCAAUAACAACACCAAGUAUUUCGGGAAACAUAUUGGGGCGGCCAAAAGCCGAGGUCGGACCCAUUUGGUCGGGGCCCGCCUUCCGCGAAGGUUGACACGCGGCAAACACCCAGCACGCCAACAGGCAGGCGUUUGUUGCCCCCCGCCCUUCCUCCCCCUCCCCCGUCCCGUGAGCUGGUUGCGCCACCGACGGCGGCGCUCAGCGGGGCCUUUGCUGCUUCCAGAGCCAUCCCCCUCUAAUUUGUGCGACCGAAUGCAAGCCAUGCUCGCGCCUAUGCCGCGCCUGCUAUCCACAAAAUACCGCCACCUUCAACUGCCACCACUGCCGUCCAUGUACCCUGCAGGUGCGCGCCAUCGCGAACCACCGAGCUCUCCCGCACGGCAUUGUGUGCUGUCUGUGACGUGUGGCCUGGCCGGGCGACCCGGAGUGCGAGGAGUGCGUUUCAGCGAUUUCAGCCCAGCUCAGCGGCACUACUCAGCAGUUCGUGGACCAUCUAGCCGCAGCACCAGCGCAUCAAACUUCGGUGGCGGUGGUAACGUGGUAUUGGUAAGGGGGGGCUGGGCACUACACGGCACGGGGCGCUGUCUUCCAACGAUCAUCGGUGCCUGGGCUGGGCUGGGCGCACGUGGGUCCUGGGACUGUUUUGGGACUAUUUGGGAUGGUUAUUUCAUCCCUUGCCAAGUUACGUCAACUGCUGCCACCGCGCACCCGCAUGCAGCCUGCCAACGCGCCGCCAACGCUGGCGACCAACCGCUGCGCGCCUUCGAGCUGUUCUUCCUGCAUGGUGGCUAGGAGGCGGCGCUGGCGGUGACGGGCGGGCCGCUGCUCUGGACCACGAUGGCACAGAACGUGCAGAGCCUGCGGUGAGCUGAGGAAGGAGGCCUUGGGGGGCGGGGACAUCUCAUCUGACAUAAAACCGUGGGGUUGGGGCAGCACGUGGCAAGCUGCUCCCUGAAAGGAAGCGAAGACAUCUGAGGUUGUAGGCUGCAUGUCUCCCACCCACCCCUUGUUCAGACGGGGCAGUUCCCCGGGGGCUCGACAGUGCGAUUGAGGCCAUCGACAAGCCGCGCUGCAGCUGUGGCUUGAGCUACAUGCAGAAUAUGUUGCGCCAGGCUGCUGAGAAGAGCACUGGUGCCGGCACGCGUGGACAAGUCUAAGCCCUUGAGCCGUCAAGCCCAGUAGCGAGUACAUAGUCGAGCACAUCUUAUCACUGGUUGACAUCUUAUCACUGGUUGUCAGGCUGUCCUUUUUCUUCAUCACCCACGCAGCCCUGCAAAACCCGAGCGUCAUCACUGCAACGCUCUUCAAUGUGUGUGACAUGUGCCCGUCACUACAACAUGCACCCUCACGUGCCCGCCACACUGCUGUGCGCCACAUUCUCCGCUGCAUCACGCGGGAAUUUCAUUCCGACAUUCCGACAAGUGUUCCCAGGUCACAGGAAAAGGGGCUGAGCCCCUCCACAGUCUGAGGCCGAACAACCUCAUCGCCCCAACAUAGCCGGGAUCGGUUUCCACAGGCACAUAGCCAAACCCUGUGCCUAGCAAUCGUGAUGCCACAGCAGAGCCAACGGCAGCCAGACGCAGCACAGUUCUCAACAGCCGCACUACUUGUCAUGCCGCUACGCAUGCCCUGCCAGCCCCACCGCGGACCGCUACCUAGACACCAGCCGGCUCCUCAGCCUGCGCGCUUGCGCCGCUUUUGGCACUUUUUGUCGACGCAGGCAUCAGGCAGGCACAGGCAGGCACAGGGACAGCUCGCCUGGUCGCCUGGUCUCCCUGUGCCUCAGGGGCAAAGUUAACGCGAAGUGCUAUCCUCUGCAGACCCGUCGGCCACAUCUGCAUAAUUCCCGCCCGAAUGAAUGUGAAUGAAACCUCAUACAACGUGCACGACAUACAUCUACGACUGGCUACAUUCAGCACUCCUCACUGGCUACACGCAGCACUCCUCACUGCCAAACGAAUUAAUCCUGUGCGACGGCAACUACUACUGUUGAAUGUGCUUAGCAUCAUGGAAGGCGGUUUCCCUGCAACAAGCAAACAAAACUCAUAAGAUUACCCAGACACGAUGCACACAUACGUGCAGAUGUUUAUGACACAGAAACGCAGCACACACAUGUACUCGCGUUCCGCACCCCCACCCUCCACACACAAACACACACACGCACACAAAACACGGUAUUGUCUAUCAGAAGCGGCAUCAGGACACAGCAGCAAGAAGCAAGGCCCGGCGCACCUGUCUCCAUGCCAGCAGUGGAGCACCCUGCGAC